UACGGAGGACCCGAGCGUUAUCCGGAUUCAUUGGGUUUAAAGGGUGCGUAGGCGGCCCGGUCAGUCAGCGGUGAAAUGCCCGCGCUCCACGCGGGAGCUGCCGUUGAUACUGCCGGGCUGGAGUCUUAGCGAGGCGGGCGGAAUGCGCGGUGUAGCGGUGAAAUGCAUAGAUAUCGCGCAGAACGCCGAUUGGGAAGCCAGCUCGCCAGCUGAGUACUGACGCUGAGGCACGAAAGCGUGGGGAU
rnacentral:rRNA from 1 species